rnacentral:lncRNA from 1 species
UGCCUCAUCUGUGCUUUUUUUCAGACUUGGCUUCGGGACGGCUAUAUGCACUUGCUAAGCUUUUUCCGUGGAUUCAGUGUUCUCUGGAACAGAUUAGCCUCUAAAAGGGAGGGAUGGCUGGUGGAAGAGGAGAGUGACAGGGAGACCGAGCAAGGGAGAAGUGAGACUGAAGAGAGGCACCAGCACAUCUGUCGUCAUAAUCAGGACCAGCCAUCCUCAGGAAGGGUGUAAACUCACACACAGAAGCAGAAAGUUAAAAAAAAUCGUCAGACUCCGAAGAAACUGGAUACAAAGUGAAAAUGAUCAGAGCCUAAAGAAAUGGAUCCGACUACAUUAGCACACCACACUGUUUUAAGUGCUGUAUUGCAGUGAGUAUCAAACAUUUAGCAGGUGUGUGUUUCUCUGCAUGUGAAAUGAGGGUGUGGCACAGAGUGUGUGUGUAUGAAUAUGUCAGGGUUUGUCUUUGAAUAACGAAUAAUAAGAAAAUUAAAUGAAAACACAUAUUUUAACUAGAAUUGAAUGAUAUUACAGAAAUACAUGCUCAGUUUCAUUAUUUAAUUUCCUGAUCUAAUUUUAGAAGUUUACUUGAGAUGAUAUUUACCAUAAGUAAUUCCACUUACAUAACAUGCCCUGGUCCUGUUUUAGAAGUUAAAGUACAUGUUCCUGUCGCUGGCGGACUCUCAGAGUUAUAAAUAUGACGAAACAUUCCAGAAACACUAAAGAGAGGUGCAGUAAAAAAUGAAAAUAAAAUUAAAAAAAAAAAAAAAUCA